rnacentral:tRNA from 1 species
UCAUCUUAGAAAAAUMGGAAUUGAACCUAUAA